GACGAACGCUGGCGGCGUGCCUAAUGCAUGCAAGUUGAGCGCUGAAGGUUGGUACUUGUACCAACUGGAUGAGCAGCGAACGGGUGAGUAACGCGUGGGGAAUCUGCCUUUGAGCGGGGGACAACAUUUGGAAACGAAUGCUAAUACCGCAUAAAAACUUUAAACACAAGUUUUAAGUUUGAAAGAUGCAAUUGCAUCACUCAAAGAUGAUCCCGCGUUGUAUUAGCUAGUUGGUGAGGUAAAGGCUCACCAAGGCGAUGAUACAUAGCCGACCUGAGAGGGUGAUCGGCCACAUUGGGACUGAGACACGGCCCAAACGCCUACGGGAGGCAGCAGUAGGGAAUCUUCGGCAAUGGACGAAAGUCUGACCGAGCAACGCCGCGUGAGUGAAGAAGGUUUUCGGAUCGUAAAACUCUGUUGGUAGAGAAGAACGUUGGUGAGAGUGGAAAGCUCAUCAAGUGACGGUAACUACCCAGAAAGGGACGGCUAACUACGUG
rnacentral:rRNA from 1 species